AAUAUUGGACAAUGGGGGCAACCCUGAUCCAGCCAUGCCGCGUGUGUGAAGAAGGUUUUCGGAUCGUAAAGCUCUGUUGUGAGGGAAGGACAAGUACAGGAGUAACUGUCUGUACCUUGACGGUACCUCAUUAGAAAGCCACGGCUAACUACGUGCCAGCAGCCGCGGUAAUACGUAGGUGGCAAGCGUUGUCCGGAAUUAUUGGGCGUAAAGCGCGCGCAGGCGGCCUUUUAAGUCUGAUGUGAAAGCCCACGGCUUAACCGUGGAAGGUCAUUGGAAACUGAAAGGCUUGAGGACAGAAGAGAAAAGCGGAAUUCCACGUGUAGCGGUGAAAUGCGUAGAGAUGUGGAGGAACACCAGUGGCGAAGGCGGCUUUUUGGUCUGUAACUGACGCUGAGGCGCGAAAGCGUGGGGAGCAAAC
rnacentral:rRNA from 1 species